rnacentral:tRNA from 1 species
GUCGGAAUAGUUUAGUAGGGUAGAUAGGGUAGAACAGCGGGAUCAUAAUUCGCACACGGGGGUUCAAAUCCCUCUUCCGAUA